rnacentral:piRNA from 1 species
UGAAAGGCAAAGGGAUCUUGGUUGGU